rnacentral:tRNA from 1 species
GCUGUGGCUUUGUGGUAGAGCAGGUGUUUAGCAUGCAGAAGGUCUCAGGUUCAAUCCCUGGCAUCUCCA